GGCUUGUUGAUUUUGAUUUCAGGUCUGAUCUGCCCUAUGAGUAAUUAAAUGGCCGCGGUAUAUUGACCGUGCAAAGGUAGCAUAAUAAUUAGUUUUUUAAUUGAAAGCUUGUAUGAAAGAUUUGAUGAGGGAGUUACUGUCUCUAUGAAAAUUUAUUAGAAUUUUAUUUUUAAGUGAAAAAGCUUAAAUUAUUAUAGAAGACGAGAAGACCCUAUAGAGUUUAAUAUUAAAUUAUGUUUUUGGUUUAUAAGUAUCUAAAAUUUGAAAAUUAAUAUAAUAUUUUAUUGGGGUGAUAGGAAAAUUUAAUUAACUUUUCUUUAUAAAAACAUUUGUUUAUGAGUUUAUGAUCCUAAAAUGUAGAUUAUAAGAUAAAAUUACCUUAGGGAUAACAGCGUAAUCUUUUUUAGAGUUYUUAUCGAAAAAAGGGGUUGCGACCUCGAUGUUGGAUUAAAAUUUAUUUCUGGUGAAGAAGCUAGAAAAAUUAGGUCUGUUCGACCUUUAAAAUUUUACAUGAUCUGAGUUDAAACCGGCGUGAG
rnacentral:rRNA from 1 species